rnacentral:rRNA from 1 species
UACGUAGGGUGCAAGCGUUGUCCGGAAUUAUUGGGCGUAAAGAGCUCGUAGGCGGUCUGUCGCGUCUGCUGUGAAAACUCAGGGCUUAACCCUGAGCUUGCAGUGGGUACGGGCAGACUAGAGUGCGGUAGGGGAGACUGGAAUUCCUGGUGUAGCGGUGAAAAUGCGCAGAUAUCAGGGAGGGAACACCCGGUGGGCGAAAGGCGGGGUCUCUGGGGCAAACA